GAGGGUAUAGCUCAGUGGUAGAGUGUGUGCUUAGCAUGCAUGUGGUCCUGGAUUCAAGCCCCAGUACCUCCA
rnacentral:tRNA from 1 species